UGGGGAAUAUUGCACAAUGGGCGCAAGCCUGAUGCAGCCAUGCCGCGUGUGUGAAGAAGGCCUUCGGGUUGUAAAGCACUUUCAGCGAGGAGGAAGGUGGUGAGCUUAAUACGCUCAUCAAUUGACGUUACUCGCAGAAGAAGCACCGGCUAACUCCGUG
rnacentral:rRNA from 3 species